GCGGGUGAUGCUCGCGCCGCGUAGCGACUGGCGCCUUCUCGUGACGACAAUCGGCGCGCGAACACGUAUCAUCUUUUUUUUUUCAACUGGAAACUAUACGACUCCAGCGGUCCAACCCGACUUUAAUACCAAUAGGAAUUUACUCAAUUUUUUUUUAAAUAAUUCUUAUAAGAGUUACGACUGAAGAUUAGUGUAGCUGCGAAUGUGAAUAUUACAAAAUCCGGCGAAAUUUUUUUAUGGCAAUAAAAUUCGUCGUUGACAUCAAAUUUUAUAUUGAUAUCAAAUAAUUUGGAUUUUAUUUUAAAAACUACAAAAUAAAAACUGUGAAAAAUUAAAUUAACAUGAAGUGACGAUUAGUGCUACAGUGUACGGAAAAUUAUUAAAAUAAAAAUGGCGCUAAAAUAGUGCUAAGGAAAAAUACAAAUUUGAAGAAUGAAAUAGAAAAUAGCAACAGCAAGACUAAAAACGUGAUAGUGUGUGCUAUUGGAUAUUCCCGCAUAGAUAAAGGAUAAAUGCGGAACGGUCGUUGACACGAGAUGUCGGUGAGGUAUGUUUAUUAUAAAUCAUUCGGUAAAUUAAUUAACAUACUUUAGUGAAUAUAAAUUGAACUGAGACAGCCCAGUAGUUAGAACACGUG